CACCAUUGCGAGAAAACUGACUGACUGAGCUGAACGUGCAAAAAGUAUUUGCAUUAUAGAAGAACCACCUAUGCACCGGUUAUAAACAAUUUUAAUGGAACAUAAUCACUUAAGUAAGGUUCAAGAUUGAACCUGUUGAAGAUUGGCAUCUGAUAAGUCACCGGAGACCCAAACAGUAUACAACCCCCUGCAGGUUGAGCCCAAACAGUAUACAACCCCUGAAGAUUGAGCCCAAACAGUAUACAACCCCCUGAAGAUUGAGCCCAAACAGUAUACAACCACCUGAAGAUUGAGCCCAAACAGUAAACAACCACCUGAAGAUUGAGACCAAACAGCACCAAUAGGUCUUUCUAGGUAAGGUCUUGGUCUAAAACAGCCCAGCUGAGUGUAUGUCAUCGAUAUUUUUUGAUCACUAACUCGCGGAUAACUUUUAUAGUUAGUUUGUAUGUAUGUGUAUGUCCUCUCCCCGCCCCAUCAUCAAGUAUGGAAAGUUAAUGCGCCAGAUCUAAGUUCAAAUAAGGUUACUUCCAAACCUAACUGAGCACUCUUGCAAUCAAACUAAUGGACAAUGUUGGUCUUUUGAUCCCGUCUUUCAAACUGUGUUCUUCGCUUUUAUUGCAAAGAUCUUGAUCAGGAAAAUGUCUGCUUUUCUUUUAUUAAUAUUCCUUCUCAAAACAUGUGGGCAUGUCAAGUCGCACCAAAUGCAGACUCGAUCAUGCCAUACUACCACAUGUGGCAAGAAUGAUUGUAUUUGAUGAUGCAGGGUUUCCUUACUCUGAAGAUUUGUGAGACAGGGGUUGAAUGUUGGGCGAAUCGACUUUAUUCCCUUUUCUACCACAGAAGAUCUAUUUAAUUACAAUACAAUGCUUUAUAUUUGACAGUACUAUUUUCAUCCAGACUAAGGUAAUACAAUAUAUUCAGUGCAUCAGUUGUUUUCCUUUUUUUGUCAAUGUAUAAUAUGUAAAUGUAUGUCAUAUCCCUACCUCCCAUCAUCAAUUCAAAAGAAAUGAUUUUCAAACCCAAGUUUAAUUAAAAUUUUAGAAGAAUGAAUAAAGAACUUAUAAAUGAAUCAAAUUUAAAUAACUUCAAUCGAACAUUGUCAAUUAACGAAUGCUCUAACCUGUUCCUUGCCAACCACAUUCCAAUAUCCCUUUGAAUUGACCAUUCACACAGGGAAAACUAUAGCUUACAUUCUUGAGAUUAACACUUCCUAGACUGAAUGUAGUUGUAGGUUGCUACAGUGCCUGAAGACGGAGGCAGACGACCUCAACCUGAGGAUGGAGCCCGGACCACACCCGUGGGUUCUUCUUGUUGUAGGUUGCUACAGUGCCUGAAGACGGAAGAAGACGACCACAACCUGAGGAUGGAGCCCGGACCACACCCGUGGGUUUUUCUUGUUGUAGGUUGCUACAGUGCCUGAAGACGGAGGCAGACGACCACAACCUGAGGAUGGAGCCCGGACCACACCCGUGUUUGUUUUUGUUGUAGGUUGCUACAGUGCCUGAAGACGGAAGAAGACGGCCACACCAUGAAGAUGGAGCCCGGACCACACCUGUGGGUUUUUCUUGGUAAGGUCUUGGUCCAAUAGGGAGAGCAGCUGAGUGCAAGUAUCGCUAUUUUCAUUACUAGCCCGCGGAUCACUUUGAUACUCUUUCGUGUUAAUGUAUGAUAUGUAAAUGUUUGUGGAUAUCUUAUCCCUUUUCCAUUAUUAAGAAUGGAAAGUUCAUGCGCCAGAUCUAAGUCCAAAUAAGGUUACUUCCAAACAUUGCUAAGCGCUUUUGCAGUCGAACUAAUCGACAAUGUUGGACUUUUGAGAGAUUUUGAAACUGUGUUCUUUUUAAUUGCAAAGAUCUUUAUCAGGAAAAUGUUUGCUUUUCUUUUAUUAAUAUUUCUUCUCAAAACAUGUGGGCAUGUCAAGUCGCACCAAAUGCAAACUCGAUCAUACCAUACUACCGCAUGUGGUAAGAAUAAUAUUGUAUUUGAUGAUGCAGGAUUUCCUUGCUCUGAAGAUUUGUGAGACGAGUGUUAAAUAUUGGGCGAAUCGACUUGAUAGAUCAACAGCGUUUAUAAUUUGUAUGUCAAGAGGGGUAGAGUUUGGAUAUGUUGAGUUUGGAUUUCUUCUGGACAUUGCAUUUCCGUUUUCUACAAAAGAAAUGCAAUUUUAUUACAAUACAAUGCUUUAUAUUUAACUAUUGUCUAUAUAUUGCACUAUUUUCAUUCAGACUAAGGUAAUACAAUAUAUUCACCAGUGCAUCAGUUGAUUUCCUAUUUUUGUCAAUGUAUAAUAUGUAAAUGUAUGUCAUAUCCCUUGUCAAUUAACGAAUGCCAUUAAGCCAUUAAGGGCCGUCAACAUUUCAAUAUCCCUUUGAACUAACCAUUCACACGGGGAAAACUAUAGCUUACAUUCUUGUGAUUAACACCUCCUAGACUGAAUGUAGUUGUAGGUUGCUACAGUGCCUGAAGACGGAGGCAGACGACCUCAACCUGAGGAUGGAGCCCGGACCACACCCGAGGGUUUUUCCUGGUAAGGUCUUUGUUCAAAAGGGAGACCAGCUGAAGUUGUAGGUUGCUACAGUGCUUGAAGACGGAGGACGACGACCACACCCUGAAGAUGGAGCCCGGACCACACACGUGGGUUUUUCUUGUUGUAGGUUGCUACAGUGCCUGAAGACGGAAGAAGACGACCACAACAUGAGGAUGGAGACCGGACCACACCCGUGGGUUUUUCUUGUUGUAGGUUGAAGCAGAGCCUGAAGACGGAAGAAGAGGACCACUCUCUCAAGAUGGAGCCUGGACCACACCUGUAGGUCUUUUUGCAUGGUAAGGUCUCGGUCCAAAAGAGUCCAGUGGACUUCAGUACGAUUAACGGAAACAUAGUGCGUGAGAUUGAAGUUCAAACAAGGUUAUUUCCAAACCAUACUGAGCAAUCUUACAAUCAAUCUAAUAAAUUAUGUUGGUCUUUUGAUCGCGUUUUUUCAAACUGUUCCUCUCUGAUUUUGCUUUGUUUGCAGUCCAAUACUCCUCUAAAUUCAUUAGUGUGUGAUUUUACUUGAUAGGCUUAGAUUGAACAAUAGCAGAAACGGAGUUGAAUGUGGGGCGAAUCGACUUGAUAGAUCGACAGCGCAAAUAAUUUGAUUAUCAGGAUAAGUAUAUUGUUUUGAUAGUCCCAAUUGGUAUGGAUUUUGUUAACUGUUCUUUCCUACAACAGAAUAACUGUUAUUACAGACAAAAGUGCUGAAUUUAACACUACGCAGCCAGAUAACAAAAAGUCUGAAGGUAUCGAUUUUAUAUGUAUGUGGCGGCGGUAAAGUAUCGCCGAUUUUCUCAGGUAAGCAAAUCAUAAAAAAAUAUCUGAAAUCACUUAUCUGAAUAAUGCAUUACAUAUUCCGGGAAUAGCAGAGCACGAUGGCAGUACAUUAGCUGUUGGUACCACAUCAUCUUACAGUAAUCUACAAAAACAUUGAAGAACCACCACAAUGGAUCAAAUGCAGACCCACCAUAGACAGAAGACCUCAGACGAUGUAGCCACGACGAAUGAGUCGCCACCGAUGAGACACUCCAAAUAGGACCCAAUGACAGAUCAUAGAAUAUAACGAAAGGUUUUGCAAGGCAAUCCAUAGUCCCCGACCGGUGAAGAUUUCUAACUUUUUCAAACAAAAGUUUAGGUCAGAGGUCAAAGUAUAAGUCACGGUGAUGGGAAAAAACUAUGACCGCAAACGUCCUAUGGAAACGCCGCAUACAGCAUACUAUAGCACAGCAGAGAAGAUUGAACCCAAUUCUAGACAAGCUGCAGCUGAACAGACAGCAGACAAAAAAAGGAUCGAAUCUCGCCCUAUUACAGAUGACAAACCAGAUCGAUGCAACCACUGACGUAAGGACGGUCCAGAGCACAAGACCACCCAUGACAGAUCAAAGAGAAAAGUGUACAACCACCAGUAGCAAGACAAUAAAUAAUGAAUUCAUAACCUAUCACAAACCACAGCUGAUGGGAUCACAACCCAUGAUGGAUCAGAAAUACUGGAACAAUAAGUGGUGACCUAAGUGAAAUGAUUGAACAGACACCUACCAGAAAUUUGUAGGUUUCUGCAGAGCCUGACGACGGAAGAAUAGGACCAUAUCAUGAAGAUUGGAGCUUGGACCACACCUAAGUCUUCCUUGUUGAAGUCUCGCUCCAAACGUGAUCCCAGCGGAAUGUAUAUGUGAGGAUUGAACUGCACACAAAUAACAGUUCCAAAAUGACAAUAACGGACUACCAGCCACAACAGGCCACAUGGGAUGAACACGAAGAAACUCUCGGCAAAUAAAAACAUGGCUUCGACAGACGAGAGCUUGGUACCACCAUUCGCACAUAAUACACAAUGACAGAUGUCCAUGACCGACCAGACAAGAAGAAAUCUCCUUUCAUGAAUAACCACAGAUUACAAGUCUUGCAGAGAAUGAGAUUUCGUACCAGAGUCCAGUUUUCAUGUUGACAGGAGCAUCUCCAAACCAAACAGGAGAUAAAACGAUGUCGAGAUGCUGCGAGUCUCGAUGCCACUGCAACACCGCAGGCAGAAUGUACAUCAGUUUAAUAGAUGAAAAACAUGCAACACACCUGAUUGAUCCAAAACCUGUCAUCCUCCAAACUGAGCCACAGACAUCGCGUCCAAGUUCAGCAACAAGUUUCCUUAUGGUCGGAUUGGACUUCGCCAGUGUAUGGUAAGGUUAAUUGAAUCUAACCU